rnacentral:rRNA from 1 species
CUAAUACCCAAUGAUAUCUCUAGAAGACAUCUGAAGGAGAUUAAAGAUUUAUCGGUGAUGGAUGGGGAUGCGUCUGAUUAGCUUGUUGGCGGGGUAACGGCCCACCAAGGCGACGAUCAGUAGGGGUUCUGAGAGGAAGGUCCCCCACAUUGGAACUGAGACACGGUCCAAACUCCUACGGGAGGCAGCAGUGAGGAAUAUUGGUCAAUGGGCGAGAGCCUGAACCAGCCAAGUAGCGUGCAGGAUGACGGCCCUAUGGGUUGUAAACUGCUUAUAUAAGGGAAUAAAGUGAGCCUCGUGAGGCUUUUUGCAUGUACCUUAUGAAUAAGGACCGGCUAAUUCCGUGCCAGCAGCCGCGGUAAUACGGAAGGUCCGGGCGUUAUCCGGAUUUAUUGGGUUUAAAGGGAGCGUAGGCCGGAGAUUAAGCGUGUUGUGAAAUGUAGAUGCUCAACAUCUGCACUGCAGCGCGAACUGGUUUCCUUGAGUACGCACAAAGUGGGCGGAAUUCGUGGUG